AUUGAACGCUGGCGGCAGGCCUAACACAUGCAAGUCGAGCGGAUGAAGGGGGCUUGCUCCCGGAUGCAGCGGCGGACGGGUGGGUAAUGCCCAGGAAUCUGCCUGGUCGUGGGGGAUAAGGUGCGGAAACGGGCGCUAAUAUCGCAACCGACGAGAGGGAGAAAGUGGGGGAUCUUCGGACGUCACGGCAUCAGAUGAGCCUAGGACGGAUUAGCGAGUUGGUGGGGUAAAGGCCUACCAAGGCGACGAUCCGUAACUGGUCUGAGGGGACGAUCAGACACACUGGAACUGAGACACGGUCCCGACUCCUACGGGAGGCCGCAGUGGGGAAUCUUCGACAAUGCGCGAAAGCCUGAUCCAGCCCUGCCGCGUGUGUGAUGAAGGUCUUCUGCUUGUAAAGCACUUUAAGUUGGGAGGAAGUACAGUACGUUUAUCCCUUGCUGUUUUGACGUUACCAACAGAAUAAGCACCGGCUAACUUCGUG
rnacentral:rRNA from 1 species